CAGAAACAAAAAGAUGAAAAGAAAAACAGAGCAUAACGUGAGAGAUAGAGAGAAAAGUAAGGAAAAACAAUAAGGAAAUUGAGAGAAUAGCUUUAUAAACUUGCAAGUUAAACCUAUAAAACACUAAAUCAAGUGAAGGAAGGAGGAUUUGAGAAGGAGAAUUCAGCUAACCUUGGAAGAGAAGAGAAAUUGGAAGAAAAGCAAUAGGAGCUGUGUCUGGAGCUGGUUAUCAGACAGGAGGAGCUGGGUCAUCCCGAACAGAAGGUAGGUGAAUUCGUCACCUCAUUUUGUAAUUUUUAGUUUUCCUAAUUAUCUAUGUUGCUUAUUUAAUUGAUAUUAAAUGAAUGGAGCAAAUGAAUAAUUUGAGUUAUGAUUAUGUGAAAUUACCAGUUUUAUUGGUUAACAAAGAGGUUAACCGGAUAUGGGGUAAUUCGUAUGGAAUUACCGGAUUGUUUGACUAAUACAAGAGAUUAGCCGGAUACUGGGUGAUUCAUAUGGAAUUACCGGAUUGAUUUUGCUAACCGAAAUGGGUUAGUCGGAUUUUUGGGUAAUAAAGAGAAUUACCGGGUUUAUUGGUUAACAAAGAGGUUAACUGGAUAAGGAGUAAUUCAUAUGGAAUUACCGGAUUGAUUGGCUAACAAAAGAGGUUAGCUGGAUGAUAGGUAAUUCGAAUGGAAUUACUGGGUCUAUUGGUAACCGAGGAAGGAAAAAAAUGAAUUUUGGGUAUCUAUAUGGAAGUGUUAGAUGUAUUUGGUAAUUAAGAGGAAUUAGUGGGAUUUUUAAAUCCUAAAAAGAUUAUGUAAAUUAUAGGAGUAAGUUAGAUUGAAGUGGAAGUACUAAAUUUCAAAGGUUAAGAGUAAUUAUUUAAUAUUAGAUUAAUAUAAUGAUAAAGUUAAUUAAUAUGGUUGUUGUUGAAACAGGUAUGCCACGAGGUGAUGCAGAUCGUUAGAUGUAGGAAUUCUCCUGUUUAUGAAUUACCAUUUUGGAAUGUAAUAUCAUGUCUUUACUUUCAAUGUAAAUCCUUUUGUGAUGCAAAAAUCAAGUAGAAUGUGUAAUAGGUAGUGGAUGUAAUAUAUAUAUAUAUAUAU
rnacentral:lncRNA from 1 species